AACGAACGCUGGCGGCAGGCUUAACACAUGCAAGUCGAGCGCCCCGCAAGGGGAGCGGCAGACGGGUGAGUAACACGUGGGAAUCCACCCAUCCCUGCGGAACAACUCCGGGAAACUGGAGCUAAUACCGCAUACGCCCUACGGGGGAAAGAUUUAUCGGGGAUGGAUGAGCCCGCGUUGGAUUAGCUAGUUGGUGGGGUAAAGGCCUACCAAGGCGACGAUCCAUAGCUGGUCUGAGAGGAUGAUCAGCCACAUUGGGACUGAGACACGGCCCAAACUCCUACGGGAGGCAGCAGUGGGGAAUAUUGGACAAUGGGCGCAAGCCUGAUCCAGCCAUGCCGCGUGAGUGAUGAAGGCCUUAGGGUUGUAAAGCUCUUUCACCGAUGAAGAUAAUGACGGUAGUCGGAGAAGAAGCCCCGGCUAACUUCGUGCCAGCCGCCGCCGUAA
rnacentral:rRNA from 1 species